GGAGCCGGGUUCUCCCGCGCAGCCCGGCGCUGCGAGACGCAGGCAUUGGGCAGACUACCUCCUGGACAAGAUGGAGAAAGGCAGACGGUAAUGGUUGAGUUAGGUUAUUUGGUCAACCAACCAAGGGACUAGAUAAUUGGUUACUGCUUACCUGGAAGGCGUUUCUUGGGAUCCAGCAAGGCCAGGUUGGACCUGGUGGUGAUCAGUGCAUCCAAAAGAGAGUCAAGAUUCCAACAGCAACCAGCAGACCAGAAUGAAGACACAAAAUGAACAUAAUGAAACUAAUAGGGAUAAAUACAAUGUGGUGCAUUGGCAGUAAAAAUGUUCAAAAUACUAAUUUA